rnacentral:rRNA from 1 species
CAGUCGUACGCUUCUUUUUCCCCGGAGCUUGCUCCACCGGAAAAAGAAGAGUGGCGAACGGGUGAGUAACACGUGGGUAACCUGCCCAUCAGAAGGGGAUAACACUUGGAAACAGGUGCUAAUACCGUAUAACAAUCGAAACCGCAUGGUUUUGAUUUGAAAGGCGCUUUCGGGUGUCGCUGAUGGAUGGACCCGCGGUGCAUUAGCUAGUUGGUGAGGUAACGGCUCACCAAGGCCACGAUGCAUAGCCGACCUGAGAGGGUGAUCGGCCACAUUGGGACUGAGACACGGCCCAAACUCCUACGGGAGGCAGCAGUAGGGAAUCUUCGGCAAUGGACGAAAGUCUGACCGAGCAACGCCGCGUGAGUGAAGAAGGUUUUCGGAUCGUAAAACUCUGUUGUUAGAGAAGAACAAGGAUGAGAGUAACUGUUCAUCCCUUGACGGUAUCUAACCAGAAAGCCACGGCUAACUACGUGCCAGCAGCCGCGGUAAUACGUAGGUGGCAAGCGUUGUCCGGAUUUAUUGGGCGUAAAGCGAGCGCAGGCGGUUUCUUAAGUCUGAUGUGAAAGCCCCCGGCUCAACCGGGGAGGGUCAUUGGAAACUGGGAGACUUGAGUGCAGAAGAGGAGAGUGGAAUUCCAUGUGUAGCGGUGAAAUGCGUAGAUAUAUGGAGGAACACCAGUGGCGAAGGCGGCUCUCUGGUCUGUAACUGACGCUGAGGCUCGAAAGCGUGGGGAGCAAACAGGAUUAGAUACCCUGGUAGUCCACGCCGUAAACGAUGAGUGCUAAGUGUUGGAGGGUUUCCGCCCUUCAGUGCUGCAGCUAACGCAUUAAGCACUCCGCCUGGGGAGUACGACCGCAAGGUUGAAACUCAAAGGAAUUGACGGGGGCCCGCACAAGCGGUGGAGCAUGUGGUUUAAUUCGAAGCAACGCGAAGAACCUUACCAGGUCUUGACAUCCUUUGACCACUCUAGAGAUAGAGCUUCCCCUUCGGGGGCAAAGUGACAGGUGGUGCAUGGUUGUCGUCAGCUCGUGUCGUGAGAUGUUGGGUUAAGUCCCGCAACGAGCGCAACCCUUAUUGUUAGUUGCCAUCAUUCAGUUGGGCACUCUAGCAAGACUGCCGGUGACAAACCGGAGGAAGGUGGGGAUGACGUCAAAUCAUCAUGCCCCUUAUGACCUGGGCUACACACGUGCUACAAUGGGAAGUACAACGAGUCGCGAAGUCGCGAGGCUAAGCUAAUCUCUUAAAGCUUCUCUCAGUUCGGAUUGUAGGCUGCAACUCGCCUACAUGAAGCCGGAAUCGCUAGUAAUCGCGGAUCAGCACGCCGCGGUGAAUACGUUCCCGGGCCUUGUACACACCGCCCGUCACACCACGAGAGUUUGUAACACCCGAAGUCGGUGAGGUAACCUUUG